rnacentral:rRNA from 1 species
UACGGAGGAUGCAAGCGUUAUCCGGAAUGAUUGGGCGUAAAGCGUCCGCAGGUGGCUAUGUAAGUCUGCUGUUAAAGAGUGAGGCUCAACCUCAUAAGAGCAGUGGAAACUACAUGGCUAGAGUGCGUUCGGGGCAGAGGGAAUUCCUGGUGUAGCGGUGAAAUGCGUAGAGAUCAGGAAGAAUACCGGUGGCGAAAGCGCUCUGCUAGGCCGCAACUGACACUGAGGGACGAAAGCUAGGGGAGCGAAUGGG